rnacentral:rRNA from 1 species
GCCUCUGGUUGUAUGUGCUCGCUUCCGACAUUCUUAUCCAUACACCUGUGCACCUCUGAGGGUAAAUUUUGGAGCUUCAUUGCUUUAGAUUUCCCUCUUCUUUUUACAAACCCAUUAUUAAAUAUUGAACGUGAUAGUGCCGCAAGGCCUUAAAUCUUAAUACAACUUUUAACAACGGAUCUCUUGGCUCUCGCAUCGAUGAAGAACGCAGCGAAUUGCGAUAAGUAAUGUGAAUUGCAGAAUUCAGUGAAUCAUCGAAUCUUUGAACGCAUCUUGCGCUCUCUGGUAUUCCGGAGAGCACGCCUGUUCGAGUGUCGUGAAAUUAUCAAACUGGGAUUGGCUUUAUUGCUAUUUCGGUUUGGAUUUGGACUCUGCUGUGUUACUACGGCUGGUCUUAAAAGUAUUAGCUGGCUCUUGAUUAUGAGUUUGGUUCUACUCGGCGUGAUAAUUUAUCUGACCGCUGAGGACAUCUUUCGGGAUGGCCAGGCUUCUUUCUAUGAGCUGCUUCUAAUUUGGCUAAUGGAUUCUUCUGAAUCUG